GAGAAUUGUGUUUGGGAGGGUUUCGGCUUCCUGGCCACAAGGCAUCUUCUCUCCCAUCUUGCAGUAAGUUGACCGUCUUUGCGCUGGACGAUCUGCAGGCCUGGUGGUCUGAGAGGUACCUUGCUCUCUUAGUUAUAGUGCCUCUUUCUGCGUGUGUCACGAGAAAGUGUUCAGAAGAACCAAUGUAUUUUCCCAAGAAAAAGAAAUCAGGAACCUGGUGUAUUUUGCCUGAUGCUUUAGGUAAACUAAUCCAAAUCAGGGCAUCCACAUUAAUCUGGAUAAAGGCUGCUUCUUCAGCCACAGCUAAGGUGCAUGUAAUAGGAAUGAGAGCCACCUGUGUUUCAGAAAGCGUCUGGGAUUUUAGAGCUGCUUGUAACUGCAGCCUAACACAGCCUCAGCCGACUGAUACAUCCAGUGUCGUCAAAACAGAGCAGUGAACCAAGCAGCCGGCUCAUUGUUUGAGAAACAGUUGUUUCAUGGGUGAAUUGACCUCAUCUUCGGCAGCCACCGGUUUGCUAAGCAUUUACUUUGAACAUUUCUAUGAUGAGCUGUCCCCAACAGCUGGGACUCAGGGGACUUUCCUCCAGGUUAACAGCAGUGGACUUCUCAGCACCCUUUAGGUCGCUGUUGUUUAAUCAACUAUCAACGUCUCCUUACACUUUAAUUCCUCCCUCCUUUGUCAAGUCAAACACUUUGAGGAAAUCACACUGCCUGUGUCCUUCUGAUCUACAGGUCUCAUGGCCCCAUCAAAAAUUCAAUGAACUUGUUUGGUUGGAUGCCUCCUUUAUUACUUUUAAAAUACAACAAAGCUGUCAAUAAAUUAUUCCAUCAUCGCUUUUCAAGGUAUCCAUAUUAAAUGUAGCAGUCUAGAACGCUAAAUUCAUUGCCUUGACCUUUCUUAUAUAAAAUACGGACAUUUGUGUGUCUCCAGUGUUCAGGCAUCCCUCUUUCUUUAGUGGAAUUCCUCAGAUAUUACGAAAAGUGGUGAUUAUAUGAAAUUUGUCAAUUAAAGGUACCAGGUAAAGGAUUUUCAGGUGUCCAAGCACACGAAUGAGGUUGUGGGCACCUUGCGGUGCGUCUGAGGUUUUGGCUCUCCGUGCCCACAUUCCUGCAGUGCGUCUGAGGUUUUGGAUCCCCGUGCCCACAUUCCUGGGAGCGGCACUCAGUGGCAGCAGUAAGAUCCAGGCCACCUCGCGGUCGGUUCCCAGGAUGCCCCUCUGCCUGCUCCUGGGGAGAUCACGGGAAACGAAGGGCGAUUGAAGGCGUCACACCCUGGUAGGAAUUUUCCAAUAUAAAUCCAGUAACUGUUUCCAUGAUGGCCUAAAAAAGAAGAGUCUGGAAUCAAUUUGUCACUUUUUCUGUGCCUCCCCAACUCUGACUUAUUUUUUUGAUGGGUCGUUUUUCAUUAUGUAUUGAUGGAGGAUUUGCCUUUGUAGGGCAGUGCCGCACUAGGCCAGUGUACCCUGAGGCAAAUGUGCACCUACAGAGAGAUCAGUCCCUGCAUUGCAGGUGUACAAAUUAUGAAAUCGGGCCCCUCCCAUGCUAACAAGGGUCUCAUCCUGUAAGCAGUAGACUAUAUUUAUGAUAUGUAUAGCUUUACCUGCGUGGCGAUUGUGUUUUGUAAUUAGUAUCGCUCCAAGUUUUAGCUAAAUUUUUGAGGAACUGGGGACCUUACAGCAUUAUCUCAUUACUAGGAAAAGCCCAAGGAAUUUAUACAAACACACCUACAUGGCAACCUCACUAUACCCAAAUAAUGA
rnacentral:lncRNA from 1 species